ACUCAGCUGACGGGUCCCAAAUAGGACGAAAUGCUGGUUGUCCUGGAU
rnacentral:hammerhead_ribozyme from 1 species